rnacentral:rRNA from 1 species
UUAAAUUGCUGUGGUAUUUUGACUAUACCAUGUUUUUGAAAUAAGAUUUUAUUGAUGCUAAGAGAAUGGACUCUCAGAGAAAAACUUUUUUUAAAUUAAAAAUUGAAAUUUUUUUAAUUUGUGCAGAAACAAUUAUUAAUAUUAAGGACAAGAAGACCCUAUGAAUUUAUUAAAUUUCAUUCAAUAUGUAAUUACUAUUGAAGAAAUUUUGGCUGGGGCGGCUAAAAAAUAUUUUAAACUUUUUAAAAAUAAAAUGAUCCAUUAUUAAUGAUUAUAUGUUAAAUACUCUAGGGAUAACAGCGUUAUAUUUUUUGAUAGACCAUAUUGACAAAAAAGUUUGCGACCUCGAUGUUGGAUUAGGAUACUUUUUUAAUGCAGAUAUUAAAAAAAGAAGUUUGUUCAACUUUCAAUUUCCUACAUGAUCUGAGUUCAGACCGG